GCAGUCGUGGCCGAGUGGUUAAGGCGAUAGACUCGAAAUCUAUUGGGCUCUGCCCGCGCAGGUUCGAAUCCUGCCGACUGCG
rnacentral:tRNA from 1 species